GGGGGUGAUCGGUUUCGACGUUGGUCGUACUCCCAGGAGAAGCGGGUCGAGGACGCACGGUUAUCUCGUAAACGAUCCGUGCAAACCAACAGGUGCCGAUUCUCACAGCACCGACUUCGCCCUCGCCGCCUGAGCGAGCGUAGAAGUCCGUCAGCCCGUGGUCGCUCUCGCCACGGUUCCUGGCGUCAGCUAGAGAGCCACUGCUUCCGCCGCACGCCGCGGGCGGCGGAGGGACACUUACGCGGCUGAGCCCGGCAGCGACUUGCCUGCGUGAUCGCUGGGGCCGAGAAAUCCCGUAGCAGGCUGCACCCGGAGAAGUCCUGGUUCUGCGCCAGCGGACGCGGGUUCGAUUCCCGCCACCUCCACCA
rnacentral:tmRNA from 1 species